UCUCUGGUGGUCCAGUGGCUGAGAUUCCGCACUCCUACUGCAGGAGGCCCAGGUUCAAUUCCUGGUCGGGGAA
rfam:Ovis aries breed Texel chromosome 3, whole genome shotgun sequence.